rnacentral:lncRNA from 1 species
UCCACUUUCCCUCACAUAAAAAAGAAAAAAACGGAAAAGAAAAGGGAGGAGAUACUCAACGCUCACUCUCCUCUCAUAAGCUCUCCAACGUCUCGAAAAAAAAAGAAAUUUAAAAAAAGGGACCUACCCACUUAAUUGACCCAUCACUCACUCUCAGUGAAAAAAAAGAAAAAGAAAACAAAAGAAAGAGAAAACAAAAAGGGAGAGAGAGCGCUCUCUCACGUUUCCUCUUCUUCUCCACACCUCUACCGCACUCCCUCUGUUUUCCGUUCACCACCGCAUCACAAAAACCGGCCAACCUCGCCACUUCCGCUUCCACCGUUAAGCACUCAUUCUCAAUCAUUCUCUUCCACCUUCCGCCAUAAACAAUGACACAACAAUAACAUUCACUGUUCACCGUGUCAAGCCCUAGUGAAUCGUUUUCAACUUGCAAUCAUACCAACACCACGUGACCUUCAUUCAUCACUCUCCUACCGUCGUCACGCUAACGACACCAUCCCACCUUCCACUGCCGACGUGCACCUUCUUCAACCAACAACCUUCUUUCCUCCGCGAUUCACACCGAAAAUCGUCGCACUUCCAUCCUUCAUCACCGCCAACAAUAACCCCCACCGGCGAACACCGUUUCCGCUGUCUCACCUCCAAACUCAGUUCCGUCUCGUUAGAACAACCAACUCCGACGAACCCACUUCGUCGGUGUCGCUCUUCAUCGCCGCUGCGAAACAACAGCGCCUCCCCCCGCCUUAACAAUAACAACCUGUUUCAGUUUCAACACAACAUCAACGAAUCAGUUCCAUUCCAAACCGCGAGGCCAUUUCUCUUUUGGUACCGGUCCAUCGGAGGUAACGGUUCGAAAUGAUUCUUUUUUUCUGUUUUAUCAAGUGUGAAGUGUGUUGCCGUGAUAUUAGAUCCGGAGGGAUUCAAUUACGUCCCGUGUUUGUUAUACUACUUUGUCUUGGCAAGUUAUUUCGGUUAAAUUAUUGUUGGUCCUGCGUUUUGGUAACUAGAGUUUCAGUUUUUGUUGAUUUCGAUUUUGCACCAAUGUGUAUAAUCAUGAGUUGUGGUCGUGGUUUACAUAGGAAUGUUGAGGCGUUUGACUCCAUGUGUUUUUACCAGUAACUGUGUAAUAGAAGGUUAAAGAAAAAAACCAAACUUGAUUUAAUAUGUUAUUAAGAUAGUUGUUGGCACAUUAUCAUUUCUUAAUCAUUUUUUAGAGUUGAGUUUAAAAUUCAGAUUUUUGGGUCAUCUGAAUGGUGAAGAGAUGGGCCCAUUCUUUUACUAGCUUAGUGUAUCCUGGCUUUACUAAUAAUAAAUUUCCAUAUGUUGUAUUAAUUUUUGUAAGGAUGGUUGUGAUUGAUGUUUCUGUUUGCGUUGCUUGAUAGGAUUUAUAAUCAAUGGACUCGACAAUAUAUGUCGUUAUGCCAUCAAAAACCCAAUAUAUCAAUAGAAUGUUUUCACCGUAUUUGGAUCUUGUGAAUGACAAUGGACAUGUUGUUUCGCAUAAACCGAUUCGAGCACACCGACUCAAUUCGAUCAUUUCACAUUUUUAUAUUAUCGCUUAUUUCUCUUUUAAAAAAAUCAAUUAAUUAAAGUUUUGAUUAAAUUAGGAUGAUUUUAAUAAUUAAGUUUAAUUAACUUAAUUAUUUGAUUAUGUUAAUUUUUAAAUCAAAUAAUUUUUAUAAUUAAUUGUAAUUACCUUAGUUAGACGAUUUAAUUAAAUUUUAAUCAAACAACUUUGUUAAAAAAAAAUGGACCGACUUAUCUCAUCAUCAAUUCAUAAUCCUUUUAAACCAAUUCAAUCAUCAGUCCAAACCAAAUUUCUAAAACAAAAUUGCACAAUUCUCGAGUUAACAUCAAGCCCACUUUCAAAACAACUCCUUUGUAAGUCGAUUGCUUUAGCAUCGCCAUCAACCUCACGUGUAAAUAAUUUCACUCGCCAUUCCGCAAAUCCAAACAAUUUUCUAAACAAUUUAACUUUUAAAUAAUUUCCUUUUUUAGCGUAAACUUGGGAUGAAAAGAUAUAGGAAGCGUUCGCCUCACUAUUUCUCAGGCAUUCAAAUGAUUGGCGCACGCCAUAUUACUUGAAUUCUUGUCAUCCGAUUAAAGCUUCAACCAUAAUAUUCAAAUCAUUUCUUCCAAAUUAAUAUAAUUUCUAAAACAUUCUAAAUUCUAAAUUUCCGAUAAUCAAAGUAUGGGAGGCGUUCGCCUCACUAUCUUUCGAUUAUUCGAAUAAUUGGCGUACGCCAUAUUGAUCGAAUUCUCGUCGUCAAAUUAAAACGCAAUCGAAUAAAUUCAAAUCACCUCUUAGAUUAAACACAAUUUCACAAAAUAAACUUUAAACUUAAAUUUCAAUUGAAGAAUGGGAGGCGUUCGCCUCACCAUUCUUUGAUUAUUUGAACGAGUGGCGCACGCCAUAUUGCUUAAGUCAUCGACUUUCGAUCAAAACCUACAAAUUCAAAAUUCAAAUUAUUUUCCCAAAUUAAUAGAAUAUAUGAGAACAUUUCUUUUUUAUAAAUUAAGUACCGAAUGAUAAAGGAUGGGAGGCGUUCGCCUCACCAUCUCUUGAUUUAUUGAUCGAUUGGCGCUCGCCAUAUUGCUCGAUUUUCUUUCGACUUCCGAUUAAAAUACUUUAAAUAAACUUGGAUAAAGGAAUGAAUGGUGCACGCCUUAUUAUUCCUUCAAUAAGCAAGUGGGAGGCGUACGCCUCACUACCAUGCAUAUUCGAUUUCCGCAAACAAACUUUUGAUAAUAAUUCGAAUGAAAAUGGCAAUAGGAGGCGUUCGCCUCACUAUUCCUUGAUUGAAUUGAGCGACUGUUGUGCACCACAUUGCUCAAUCUUUUGUCGUUCCUCAAAAUAUCUUAACACAUCAAACAUAUUUUCUCGCCCCCGUGCGAUCGAAACCAAUCAAACAAAACGUCAAACAUAUCAAUUCAAUUUCCCGCCUCUGUGCGACCAACAAUUCAACUCUUGUCAAAAAAAACACUAUUAAUCCUUUCUAAUACGCACGACAGACCAGUGCUUAAGCCUCCGCCGAGAGUAGACAAGCCAACGUUUAGCCUUUAGAAUGCGACCUACACAGUCGUUCAUUAAAAACAUCAACCAAAUUGUAGUUGCCCGAACUACGAAUGCUCUGAUUUCCUUAUUGCACCAUAAGGAUACGUAGGCAGGAGAUUGUUGUAUCUUCGCGAGCACACUCAUAAAAAACCUCCCUUUUCCCCUUCUGAGGUCUCCAUCCAUAUCUAGUAUCUAUUUUAAAUUACUCAAAGAAAGCGAAUAACAUUCAACUGACAUUCAAAUAGCAAAUUAGACUAAAAGGUUCACGUUGAGUACAACGGACGUGAGGGGUGCUAAUACCUUCCCCUUGCGUAAUCGACUCCCGAACGUGAAUAUGGUUACGACGACCAUUAUUCUAUUUUUCAAAGGUUUUAUGAUAUUUUCCUAUUCCUUAAUGGUAAUAAAUAAAGUUUGGUGGCGACUCUGUUCGACCUAAGUUUUUCCGCGAUCAUCGGGAGGAAUCGUAUUUUUCGAGAUGCGACAGAUGGCGACUCAAUUGGGGACUUUGCUCCAAGCAAGAGAGAGUCUAGCCUAACUUAGUCUAAUUUUGCUAUGACAGUUGGAAGAUAUUCUUUUCUUCCAUGUUUAUUUCUUUGUAUUUUAUUCUGAUUGCUUGUGUUGUAUGUAAUUUUUCUUGAUACUUUAAUAUGGGACUUGAUGUAUGGUGUGAGAUAAGCUUCAUACCCGAGCUUCGAGAAGAACUUAGAACCCGGAGUUGUGUAGUACUGAACCGAGGGGUAUACACCUCAUUGGGGCAAUACGAAGACUCCACCUAGAGUAGAUAUGUUUGGAGUUUCAAUCAUAAUAUGGCUAACCCAUUAUUGUGGGGAGAUUCUAAAUACGAUUCGUGACUCUAGGAACCUCGCCUUAAACCCAAGUUUUGUUUUAAUGAUUGGCGAUUAUGUAGUAUUGAACCGAAGGGUCUACACCCUAUUCGAACAAUAUGAGAAUCCCACUUAGAUUAGAUCAGUUGAAAACUCCCAUCACGAUGUGGCCAGCCCAUUAUUGAGAGGGAGUGUUGAACAUGAUCUGUGAGUCUAAGUUACUUCCUUGAAAACAUAACUUUAGAACCUACCUUUGGGGAUUUCUAGUAAUCAGAGAAACUCGGGCUUCUUCCUUUUAUCCUGACAUACCCGACGUGUGAAUAAUCUUGAGUAUUUGUAUUCCUUUGCGAAAAAUCAUGGCAGAAUUUCAUGCAUUUGCAUAUCAUCAACAUGCAUUGCAUAUCAUUGCCUAGAAACAAAAACUUGCACCAUAUUCUACCCUUUUACCAGUAACCUUGACUACUCGACACCGGUACGAGACAUGCCGCAAUUACAAGAUGACACUCGAACAGCUUGAAGCAAACCAGGUUUCGAUGAGAACAGACAUUGACUCCAUGCAAGCGAAGAUGGAUUGCCUGCUUGAAACUAUGUGGCUCUUAGCCCAGAAGGAGAUAGAUGCUGAGACUAGCGCCGAAGCCAGAAGAGUUGUUGCUCAGUUUGGAUCUCCGUCGCUUAGCAUCCUUGAAGUAACUAACCUUGAUGGUAAUCCUACCCAUCCUAAAGGAGGUCCCAUCCCUAUUCCUAUUCCCAUGGUCAACAUGAACCCCCAUGAACAUUCUGCUACAUCUGCUCGACAUGGAUCCAUGAUGGGUGAUGAAGAUUCGUAUGAUGCUUUCUUCAUGCCACAACUCGCCAAGCCUGUUGUUAGAGGUCUCCUAGACCCUGCUGUUGAGAGACUCCACGCUCUGGAGGAAAAAUUCAAGUCCUUGGAGGUUCACACUACUCUCGGUUUGGACGUCGUCAAUAUCUGCUUGGUGUCAGGUCUGGUGAUUCCGCAUAAAUUCAAAGUUCCGGACAUUGACAAGUACAAAGGGAUCAGCUGCCCGAGGACUCACCUCAGAGCUUAUUGUCGCAAGAUGGCUGCCCACAUCAAUAAUGAUCAACUCCUGAUUCAUUACUUCAAAGAUAGCCUUAGUGGGGCAUCUUUGGAGUGGUACAUGCAGUUAGAGAGGGGACAGGUCCAGUCAUGGAGAGACCUCGUUGAAGCUUUCCUUAGGCAUUAUCAAUACAAUAUUGAUCUAGCACCCAAUCGCACCCAGCUGCAAGACAUGACUCAACGCAACAAUGAGUCAUUCAAGGAAUACGCACAAUGUUGGAGAGAGCUUGCAGCUCGUGUCCAACCUCCUCUUCUUGAUAAGGAAUUAAUCGAUAUUUUUAUGGGAACUCUGCAUAUCCAAUACAUGGAAAAAAUGGUAGGAUCCAACUUCCCAACUUUUGGCGAGGUUGUCUCUGUGGGAGAACAAAUUGAAAGCCAGAUCAGGAUUGUAGAAGUAAUACCCUCUUGUUUCUUUAGGAUACCCCACAAAUAAGCAUAUGUCAAAUUUGGGUUCAAGCUUAGUUGAAAUUUGUCGUUUCACAUAAACUUCGCAACCCCAAAUCUUCAUAUAAGACAUAUGUGGUUUCUUACCACUCCAUAUCUCAUAUGGUGUCUUCUCAACCUUUUUGGAUGGAACAUGAUUAAGUGUGUAAGUUAUUGUCAAUAGUGCAUGUCCUCAAAAGGAGUUUGGAAGAUCGGCGUGACUCAUCAUGGAUCAGACCAUGUCUAACAAGGUUUGAUUUCUUCUCUCAGAUGCAUCGUUCCAUUGGGGUGUUCUAAGAGGAGUAAGUUGGGAUAGAAUCCCACACUCUUUCAGAUGGUCAUCAAGCUUUAGGCUUAAAUAUUCAUCACCUAGAUUUGAUCGAAGAGUUUUAAUAUUCUUACCCAGUUGGUUUUGUACUUCAUUCUUGAAUUCCUUGAACUUUUCAAAGGACUCUGAUUUGUGUUUCAUUAAAUACACAUAACCAUAUCUACUAAAAUCAUCAGUAAAUGUGAUGAAGUACUGAAAACCUCCUAUUUGUACUUCAUUCUUGAAUUCCUUGAACUUUUCAAAGGACUCUGAUUUGUGUUUCAUUAAAUACACAUAACCAUAUCUACUAAAAUCAUCAGUAAAUGUGAUGAAGUACUGAAAACCUCCUCUGGCAGGUAUGUUCAGCGGUCCAUAUACAUCAGUAUGUAUGAGGGCCAAAAGAUCAUUAGCUCUUUCACCUUUUCCUGUGAAUGAAGACUUUGUCAUCUUUCCAAUUAAAUGAGAUCUACAUGUCUCAUAUGAUUCAUAAUCAAAAGAGUCCAUCUUUAUGGAGUUUGGAAAUGUGUUUCUCGUUUAUGCGACCUAAUCGACAAUGUCAAAGGUAAGUUGGAUUUAACUCAUUAGGUUUCAUCCUUUUAGUAUUAAUGUUAUGAAUAGGCAUUUCAAGAUCAAGGACAUAUAGUCCAUUGUUCAUUUGGACAGUAGCAUAGAAUAUAUCAUUCAAAUAAAUGGAGCAACAAUUGUUCUUUAUUAUGAAUGAAAAACCAAACUUGUCCAAACAAGAAACGGAAAUAAUAUUCCUGCUAAUUGCAGGUAUAUAAUAACAGUUCUCUAACUAAAUUAUUAAACCACUAGGUAAAGUCAAUACAUAAGUUCAUACGGCUAAAGCAGCAACCUUUGCUCCAUUUCCAACUCGUAUGUCAACUUCACCUUUUGCCAAAUCUCUACUCCUUUUUAGCCGCUGCACAUUGGUACAAAUGUGAGAACCACAACCAGUAUCUAAUACUCAUGAUGCAGAAGUAGAUAGAUUAAUUUCAAUAACAAAAAUACCUGAAGUUGAAGUCUCUACUCCAUUCUUCUUAUCUUCCAGAUACUUUGGGCAGUUUCUCUUCCAGUGUCUGGUCUUACCGCAAUGGAAGCAGGUGCAUUUCUUUGCUAUGCCUCCACUAUGAUUCAAAGCAGGAGCAGUUGGUUUGGAUUUGGCAACUUCCUUGCCUUUCCCUUUACCACCCUGCUUGGUGGGUCUUUUGUUCUGUCUCUUUCCGUUUCCGAUCAUCAGAAUGGACUUCCCUUUUGACUUCAUAUUCUGCUCAGCAGUUCUUAACAUGCCUAGCAGUUCAGGAAGAGUUUUGUCCAUAUCAUUCAUGUUGAAAUUAAGGACAAAUUUAUUGAAGCUAUAUGGAAACGAUUGCAAGAUCAAAUCAGUCACAAGUUCCUUUCUGAGGGGAAAACACAACCUCUCAAGGUUCUCCACACACCCAAUCAUCUUGAGCACAUUGGGACCUACAGGGGCUCCCUCGGUUAACUUGCCUUGAAAAAGGGGCUUUUGAAACUUCAAACAUUAAAUGCCUUUCCUACUCUUGAUAGAGCAUCUUGAGGUGUUCGAUCAUAUCGAACGCUGCCAUAUUCUCAUGUUACUUUUGCAACUCUGAGUUCAUGGUAGCUAGCAUGAGGCAAGCAGUUUCAUUGGCAUCAUCGACGUGCUUCUUAUAGGCAUCUCUUUCUGCCUUAGAUGCAAUGCUAGGAUGUUCCUCUUCAGGAACAAGUUUCUCCAAGACAUGCAGCUUUCUAUCAUGCUUGAGGACAAUCCUCAGAUUUCGGUGUCAAUCCAGAAAAUUUAUCCCAGACAAUUUUUACUUAUCAAGGAUUGAUCGCAAAAUAUUGUUAGAGGUGUUUGUUGUCAUGGUAAUCUACAUGAAAAAUAUGAAAAUAUAAGUAUCACUAAAAUAACAUAUUUAAUUAGGCCUUUAAUUAAAUAUGCUCCCACUAUUUUACUCAAAACAAAUGACUCUCACCAUUUGAUUCAGAAAAUCCCGUUGGAAGAUUUUCUAGUGGGUCGAGAUCCACAUUUCACUUUGUUUUAAGUCCGCGUAGGCGGAUUACACAAAACUAGGUUAUUUCGGUAGGAACUCCUUCCAAUUGUAUCUAAUACAACUCAAAUAUUUUAGUUAAGUGAAUAACACCUUAUUCCAAUCCAUCAUAUGGAUCAUUUCCAACUCUUGCUCCUAAACAUAUAUAAUCUUAUUAUAAUUUGUUUAGUUAAGUUUGACACAUUGUUUUAGUAAUUGGAUAUUAUAAUUAUCCCAUCGCACCUUACUCAUAUAGAACAUGCACCUCGCGUGGCAAAACCUACAUUAUUCGAUACUAGUCUUGGUGAGUGCUAAAGCUUGGAAAGCAUAAACUUAAUAUUUAAUUUGAGGGAAUUUGCAAUUAUUUUGAUCUCACUGGCUUAUUUAUCAUAUAAAUCGUCUCUCACAUGCAUCAACAUACAUUCACAUGCAUCAACAUACAUAACUUGGAAAGCAUAAACUUAAUAUUUAAUUUGAGGGAAUUUGCAAUUAUUUUGAUCUCACUGGCUUAUUUAUCAUAUAAAUCGUCUCUCACAUGCAUCAACAUACAUUCACAUGCAUCAACAUACAUACAAAAUGAAACAAUUAUGGCCCCUAGCGCAAUUGUUCUCCCAAGCCAAUGAGAGAACCUAAGCUAACCUAAUAACGAUAUAAGCUUCUCCAAGCAAGAUCUUCAAGGUUUUCCUCCUUUGAUAUUGUAUUCUUCUCUUUCUUCAUAACAUUAUAUUACAUAAAAGAAACUCGUUUUACAUACGAGGCAGUGAGAUGAGAAAAGAAGUUACAUUAAGAGAUUAAAAGAGAGACACGACACGCAGGCCGUAUUUUAAAAUCCCAAAACAAAAAAAGGAAAACUAAGGUCAUAACCGAUCACCAUAAGACAAUAAUAAUAAACAAAUUAUUAUUAUUAAUUUAAAUUCUGUUAAUUAAAUAAACAAAAUUAAAUUUCGGUGAUUGAUCACACUACGCAGAGUUAGCGGGGGGCAGCGCCCCGACACAAAAUUUUAAUGAACAAUUCAUUUGAAAUCGACGUUGUUUUUCGCAUCAACACUUGAUGCUUUAAAGCACAAUUCUUGUGCAUUCACAACCCUAAUCGCAUAACUCUUUGACAGCACAACCCUUGUACCGUCAUGAACCCUAAUGCAGCAACUGCAUACCAUCAAACACACCUCGAUUGAUAAUUUAGUAUGAUUUAUCAACACGUCAUUGCUUCACCAUACUAAUGUCGGAUUCCAAAACAAAUGACCAUUGAUCGCUCAAACGAAUAUCAAUCACUAAGUGUUUGAAUGAACGAAAUAGAAAUAGUAUAUCAUAUAUACCGUAUUUUGCAUCAGAAUUACUUAUAUCAUAUAUAUAUAUAUAACAUGAUCAAUCUCAAUUGUGUAACCUAUGGACGGUCGAUGUAUCGCUGCUUCACCAUACUAACGUCGGAUUCCGAAGCAUAGUCAACAUCAAUCAUCCAAAUUAUACACACAUAAUGCCAAAUUUAAUUACUCAUUUAUUAUUUAAUUCAUUGUGUCUUUUAAUCGUAUUAAUAAAGAAAAUACAGAAAAUAAACAGCUAUCAGAUGCAUGGUUUCGUAACCAGGCUCUGAUACCAUUGAAGGAGAAUGGCGAUCCAAAAUGCAGCGGAAAUUAAAAUUUUCUCCUUUAGUGAUCCUUACGAAUGGGCAUGAUCAGUGAUAGAAAUCGUUACCUCUUGUGGAGAUUGAAACCUUUGAUGCAUAUCUAAGGAGUGAUCACGAACGUUGAAUGGUGACAACGCCUCUACUCAGUCCACACGAACGGAUUCCUUCUGUCUCAGUGCUAGCUGCUACGAAUGAAGGCUUUGAGUGUGUGUGAGAGAGAGAGAGAGAGAAACGAAAUUUCAUCUAAUGAAAUGCUUUUGCACAAGGGUUCUAUUUAUAGAAACACUUGUGUGGGUUGUAAGCUAAAAAACUCACUCAAGUGUAUGGGGCCCACUUAAGCGCGUGGUAGCUUGCCACAUUUCGUAUUCUACUUAAGUGCAUUGUAUCUUAUGAUGUUCCACAAUUCACUUAAGUGCACCGUACCUUACGGUGUUCCUUAUUUACUCUAUCUCUCAGCAAUCUAUCCUUUUGUGUGUGAUCCUGUAUGUUUUCGCGACAUUCACAAUUAUAUUAAAUCACGUAUUUAACAUAAUAAAUAUUGAGCGGUAUCUAGAAACAUAUCACUGCUACCCAAGGCACGAAAAUGUCAUGUGAUCUGACAAAUCCCUUUUUUGUGAUAAUACUUGUGUGUAAAAUUACCAUUUUGCUCUUAUGUCUAUAUCAAACACAAGGCAUAGAUAGUGGCAUCCUUGUCCAGUUCAAUAUUAGUCCCUUAGACAUUUAUCAUGUUACGCAUGAUGGGCAAACUCCAUCUAGGUCACUCAUGUCCCUCAGUAUGCUUCGUGGAGUACCCAUGAACUGUCUUUAUGGUCAUCCAGUUAUGGACAAUAUUUGAUCAGCAGUAAAACACUCGACUUUACAUAUAGGGUCUAUAGUGGUUUCAGGUCGAAGGGUGAUAUACACCACUAUCACCAUGAGAAUAACUUAUGACACUUUGUAUAACAUUCUAUAUAGUAUUCUCAUAGCGGAUCAAUCUAGUAUAAAUAUUACUCCUAAUAUUCAUACCUAUGUUUAAGACUUGAUAACUCCUUAUCCAUGAUCCAUGAGAUAUGAUCAUUAGUCUAUAUACAUAAUAGUCUUAAUGAUUUAAUGUUAUCCCACUUCACAACAAAGCUCGACUACGGAUACUUUAAUAAUAGUGUCCUUAUGUUUAAUGGGAUCUCAUGAUUAAGUCAUACUUGAUACAUUAAACGGGUUAGCUAUUCUAAGGACUUUAUUAAACAAACAUAAUAAAGAAAAAACCCUUUUUAUUAUUAAUAAAUAAUUCAAUACAAGUACCAAAAGUAUUGGCCUCUAGGGCUUACACCAACAGUUGUAGAUGUCAUUACCCAUCCAUCAUGGAUGACCCCAUUUUAAGAAUAUAUUCAGACGAGGUCAAGGAAUUCGUUUUAUCCACAACUCGAGUGGAUUAAUUACCCUAGUUGAAGAGGUCAAGGAAGUUAUAUGGUUAAGAGGUAUGAAUGAUGAGUUAUGAAUAACUCAAUAAUGUAUUAUGAUACAUGUGAUAGUCAAAGUGAAUUUUAUUUACUAAUAAUUAAGUGUAUCAUGAGAGAAAAACCACAUUGACACAUGUUUUCAUUUUAUUAUAGAUAUGAUUGAUUCGAAGGAGAUUGUGUUGGAUAAGGUUUCUUUGGAAAAUAAUUUGACAGAUAUGGUCAUCAAAUCAUUACCUAAGUCAAGAUUCAAGCAUUGAUUAGACUUGAACAAUUAUUUUGAAGAAUGAUUCAAGUUUAAAGAGAGUAUCAAGGUGGUUAAUAGGGAAAUUGACAUCACCAUCAAUUUGAAUUUAAGGUGAAUAUGUGUUGUAUAAUUUGACUUGAAGAGCAUUUAUCUCCUUUUGCCAAUAAUGACAAGAUUCACAACCAAACCUUGAAGGUUUUUCAUCCUCUUUCUUGUCAUUUUUAAAAUAUAUCAUAUACUUCUUCAUAGCUUCCAACUUCUUUCUGAUUCUAACACCUUAGCUUCUAAGUGUAAAAAGACUUUUUCAUGUGAAGCUAAUUUGUUAAAGGCAUUUAAGGCCUCUCUAUGAAGAUCUUCAAAAGCAUUUUGUAAUUGAAAAUAAGAUAAAUCAUUAAUAGAUUCAAUCUUAGAAAGACUUACAUUUUUCUUCUUUUUUCUAUUUUCCAUGAGGCAAAUCUGGGUCGAUUCUACACUUGAAGUAGAUAUUUCAUUACUUGCACUCUCCCAAGCAACAUAGGCUCUUCUAGAUUUUUUAGACUUCUUGUGAUGGCAUUUCUCUUUGUCUUUCUUAAUCUUAGGAUAUUUCGAUCUAUAAUGUCCAAAUUAUCCAUAAUUGUAGCAAGAACUCCUAAGUUUACCUUUCUUAUUCUCAUCUUCCUUUGAGGAUUAAGCCACCCUUCUAAACUUGGUUAGGUUCUUUUCGAAGUGCUUGACUCCAUUAUUCCUUAUAUACCUUUGGUACCUUUUGACAAACAAUCACAUGUCCUCAUCAUCGGAGUUCUUGUCAUCUCUUAUUUUCACAAUCACUUUGCUCAAUAUGUGAAGGCUUUGAGCUUUAAGUCUUUAGAGCAAUAGACUUAUUCUUUUCCACCUUGUAUUUACCUUUCUCUUUCUUUACCUUCAUCUCAUGUUUUUUUCAUGUUUUUCCAAGCAAGAGAGUUAUUGCUCACAUUCUUCCAAUUUUCCAAACAAAGUAGUGAGAUCAAGUACUUUAAGAUCAUUUGCCUCCUUGAUUGCGGUGACUUGGGUUAUCAUUCCCUAUUAAGACACCUCAAAACCUUAUUAGUAGCAAUAUCAUUGGAAAUAGCCUUACCUAGAUCACUCAAGCGGUUAAUAAGAUGUGUGAACCUUUUUUGCAUUUCAACAAUGGUUUCACCAUGCUUCAUACGAAAGAGUUCAAACUCUUGAUUCAAUGUGUUGAUCCUAGAUUUUUUGACCUCAUUAGUUCCCUCAUGGGUAACUUGUAAUGCGUCCCACAUAGCCUUGGCGGUUUCACAAUGGGAAACACUAUAAAAUUCAUCAACAUCGAGUGCUGAUAUGCGAAUGUUUUGUGCUUUCCAAUCGUAAGACCAUAAUUUCUUAUCAUUAUCAUUUCAUUGAUUUUCCGGUUUUGGUACGACGACGCCUUCACCAUUGGUCAUUGUAAUUUAAUUUAGGACCAUUGAUGAUGAUGUCCCAUACACCCUUAUCAACUGAAUUGAUAUAGAUACACAUAUAAGCUUUCCAAUAGCCAUAGUUUUUGCCGGUGAAAAUUGGUGCUCUAUUGUACGCCCUUUUAGGUUCGAUAGCCAUUUUAUAAUAAGCAAAUCUUAAGCAUGGAAUUAACUGGAUCUCGUGAUACCACUUGUUAGACGAUAGGCUUAGAUCUAGAUGAGGGUGAAUAGAUCCCGAGUUAAAAACUUCGACAAAAAUAUGCCUGCAUUGGUUGAUUUUUGCAUGUUAAAAACUUUCCUGAGCUACGGAAUGCACUUCCGUAUUAUGUCUAUAUUGGUUGAUUUUUGCAUGUUUGUCAUAUAGGUUUGCUUUUUUUUGCUUUGUAUUCUUUGUCUAGUUUAACUAUAGGUAAAAUGGUUGACAACUAAGAUUGAUUGAGGCACGAUAGAAUGUCCCAGGAAAUAUAUGUUCGUAAGGAGAGAGCUAGACUCUUGCGACCAUCUGUUGGUGCCAAUUCAUUUAAUACAAAAGUGUCCACUUCUAAAUUUCAAUUGUCUUCGACCUCAUAUUCCUAGAGGCAAGUGUCACUUGUUGCUGCCCCAGAAGUCCCACUAGUCCAUGUUGAUGCACGUGAUGUCGAUGGUGUCAUUCAUGAAGUUGUUCCUGAGGUUUUUAGAGGAGACUCGUAUGACACUUCACUACAUCCUCUACAUGUUACAUAAUGACAUUAGAGAGAGAAAAAAUUAAAAUAACCACUUUUUUCAAAAAAAAUCUAAAAUAAUCAAUAUUUCAAAAAAAAUCCAAAAUAACCACCUUUCAAAAUAGAUGCACUAGAUGAACUGGCGCAUCCAUUUUGAACCAAGAGGAGGCGCCAACACCACUGUCGCAUGCUUUAAAAGCAAUGCAUGGUGGCUCCAAGGGUGUUAGCGCAUACAUGUACUUGCAUGUGCUUGCGCCCAUGCUUCUGGCGCCUACAUGUGUUGAUAUGUGUGGCGCCUAGCCCUUUGGCGCAUGCAUUUUCAUACUUCUUCUAUAAAUACCUCGUCCUUCAACCAUAUUUUUCACACAACUUUUACCCUAUAACCACAUUUUCUUUCAGUCAACUUCAAUCUCCUUCAAGCUUUUGAGUUUUAACCAUGUCUGAAUACAUUCACAAGUGAAAUGUCGAUUUACUCUUUUCCGUCGUUGCGUCUCCGAUAAAGAUUCGACUUUGGAAUAUAGAUUCGUUUGAACGUCUUAAUCGGACAUUGAACAGUUGGUUAGAUGGAGAAAUUGGAGAUGGUGAAAGGAUUAGAAGAAUCCAAUGGCUUGUGUCCACGUUCAACCAAAAUGGAGAAGUGCGUGAAUCAGUGGGUAUUAAGACUGACAGAGAUGUUCAUAGGAUGAUGCAUUACAUGUUCAAAAUUGUUUUGAUGGUUGUAAUCGCUUAGUUAUUGUAAUGGUAUUUUAAUUAUUUUAGUUGUUUGUGUUGUUGUUUAUAUAAUGGUAUUUCCUCACAAACUUAUAAUAUGAAAUAAAAUUAGUUUUUUUAUAUAUUGCAACAGAGGUACAUGUGAAUUUAUCUUGUUGUGCUCGUUCCAACACUAUGACAGUUAGUACGAUUGUGACCUGGCUGACAGCAUGAACUACAUAAUCAAACCAUUUUGUUCGCCAUAUCCAUUUCGGUUCGAAUACUGGUGUUGUUUGACAACCUUCUUCUGCAACAUUUUGUCUUUGAUCUCCCGCAUAAAAUUAUGAGCAAUAUGUCUAAUACAUAAGACAUGCGUCGAAGGAGAAUCCUGUCAGUCAUUAUCAAUGUUAUCAUAUGCACUGAUGAUUGAAGGGUGUCUGUCGGAGAUCAAACAUAAGUUAGGUUGGGGUGCAACGUGCAACCAGAGAUUUCUUAGGAAAAAACUUCAUCCCUCAGCAAUCUCCCCUUCAACAAGGGCAAAGGCGAUUGGAAAAAUAUUGUUAUUAUCAUCUUGUGCCACUGCCAUUAGUAACGUUCCUUUGUAUUUCCCGUACAACCAUGUACCAUCAAUUUGUAUAAUAGGUUUACAAAAAAAAAACCUUUGAUGCAUGGUUGAUACGCCUAGAAGAGACGGUGGAAUUAUUGGGUGCCCCUUUGUGUGAUGACCAAACUGAGGGAGAGUCAUCCGGUCAAGUUAGGGGGAAAGGUAUAAAUUUAAAAUAUCUUAAACAAUAUUAUGAGAAUAUAAUAUUGUCCGAAGAAUCAACCGAGUACAAAAAAAUAGUUAAAGCUCGGUGUUAUAUUAUGAUUUUAUUUGGUAAUUUUUUAUUUCUAGAAAGUACUAGUAAUACAGUAAAUAUUAUGUAUUUAUCGUUAUUACACAACAUUAAUAAGGUAAGCACAUAUAGUUGCGGUUCAGCUGUGCUGGCCCAUCUAUAUAGUGCAAUAUGUAAAAAUUCCAAAAAAAAAUACUUGUACUUUUUAUUCAUGUGCGUAUUUGCUACAAGCAUGGGGUUGGUCAAGAAUGUCGCCAUUCACCCCUGAUAAACGAGAAGCCAUUCAUAUUUCUGUUUGCAACAAAGUAAGUUUAAAACUUUACCAUACAAUUAAUUAUACUUUAUAUUACUAUUAACUGUACAUGAUAUUUAUCAAUUGUCUAUGAUCUAGGUGGUCAGUUAGAGGGAUGAACUACAAUGGAUGUCUGAAACACGUUAUAGUAGUCUAUCGCAAUCUAUUGGAUCACAUUGGACCAGACGAUGUAAUACUCCUACACAACUCUGUUUUAAUUUAAACAUACUUAUCAAAUUAUUUAUCAUCUAAUCGUGUCGUAUUGUUGUACAGUUUAUCUGGAGGUCAUAUAUGGGUCUUAAUCAUCAGGUUAACCAUGAUGAUGCUGCAGUUUGGACAGCAAAGACACCAAUUAUUCGGUUCACUACUGUGGAGAUGCACUAGAGUGAUCGGGUAAAACUGCAGUUCGGCAUGCAACAACAGAUUCCAGAACCUUCGACGUGUUUGGGAGAUUGGCAUCAAAAAAAAGUCGAUACCCAAUGGGAUUAUUCUGACUGGAGAGACUCCGCAAAAGAGAUGUGUCGUCAUUGGAGGAAUCGACGACAACACAUCUUAAACGAACUAGUCAUACAUGGUGCUAGACCAACUCAACAAUAUAUGACAUGGUUUAGGUCAGUAACAACGCAACAAUUUGUGUCUGAACCACGGUAUUUGAUUGAUCCACGCCAACUAGUUUCGUCAUCAUACGCCCAACAACAAGUCCCCGUCCAACACCAAUGUCAAACCACCCAAACCCAACAACCAACCUCACACCAUCAACCUACCACAUACACCCAACAACCAAAUGCCCAACUUCGCAACACAUUCAUGCCACCCACCCAACAACUAAACACCCAACCUCGCAAUCCAUUCAUGCCACCCACCCAACCAUAAAACCAAGAAUCAAACUCUACCUACCAACAACCAUACUUAUCAACCACAACCAUCUAUAGCCCAGAUGAUUCAUAUGGGUCACUUCAUCGUAGCCCCCCACCAAUGACCAUCCAAACAUCCCAUCACCAAAAUACUCAACCAUUGUUUAACUAUAGUACACCCCAAUAAUCAUUUCUUCGUUUCCAAAAUGAUUCAAUGUCCCAAUUCUGGCAACUAUACCGUCCAUAAUUCACCCAACCACAUCGACCCAACUAUGACAACAUGGGCACCGAACUACAUUACGGAAGCGUUGUUGGCCAGAGCCCCCGAGCUAUUGGGAACAAAUGAUGACACGUCUAUCAAAUACUGCUAGCACUUCCGCCGGACCUUCACAACAGUCAUCAUUGGAUCAAGUCAGCACGCAAAGACCCCAAACACCUUAGGAAAAUCGUGGGAGACCUUGAAGACAAACUAACGCACCUGGUGUCAUACCCCAAUUUUGUCCGGGCAUAUUUAAAUUUUCAUAGAAUUGAUUUCAUUUUUAUUUUACAUCAUAUGCAUAGCAUGACAUACGUUCCAUCAUGAACAAUACCUAAAAUAUCAGUCAGAAUAAAUUUAUUGAAAAUACAGACAAAUCGGUUGAAUCAUUCCUCAAGAACAUGCAAAAUCAGCGGGUAAAAAGUUUCAAAUUUAAAAUUACAGACACCAAUACUAUUAAUCUACGGUUCACGUAGUUUAACCUGGUGUGCUCGUUGUAUUUUUCAGCGACUAUUUCGGUCGCAUUUUGAUCCGUCUGAGCCUUUUAACCGGUGCAAAUUUAUUUCAGAAUAUGAAGAAACGCUGUAUUUUUUCAAUAAGUAUAUUUUAUGCUGAUCAUUUUAGUGUGACCAAUUUAAUUUUCCGAGUAAAUUUGUACUCGGUUUCUAUUUCUAAUUGGUCAAUUUUGUUUUGGUUUAGUUAUUAAUUAAAAGUAAUUUAAGUUUAUUUGAAUCAAAUAUUAAAUAAAAAUUUUAGGAGUUUAUUUUCUUAAAGGAAUAAUAAUUUAAUGAAAAAAUAUAUUUGGUACAUUGGAUCCUGCCAACUGGUAUCCACUCACAUGUCUCCUCACGCAGCCACCUAUCACUGUCCUCACGCCUCCCUACUCAGCUACCAACACAUCUCUCUCAAUCACUCAGCUACCAACAGCUCUCUCUCUGUCCACUAUUUCACUCAUCCUUAUCCUCUCUUUCACACGGCACCAAUUCACUCACCACAAACAAAAUUCAUUCACACACACAUUUCUCUGAACCUCUCUUCUCUCUCUACUCUACGAAAAAAAAGAAAAAUAAGAAGAGGAUUUUCCUCUUCAUCUCUUCAUCGCCUCCACCACCCAAAACCACCCUAACAGCCACCAUUCACCGCCGAAAUCCACCGAUUAACCUCCACCCACUAAAACCCCUUCACCAACAACUCCAUCGCUUCACCUUCAAAUCGCUAUCUUCAACCCCUAAAUCAACCCGCCACUCACAAAUCGAAAACCCUCGAGAUUAACCUCCACCCACUAAAACCCCUUCACCAACAACUCCAUCGCUUCACCUUCAAAUCGCUAUCUUCAACCCCUAAAUCAACCCGCCACUCACAAAUCGAAAACCCUCGCCGCUCAAGCCACCAUCGACCAACGACCUUCUGCUCUCUCCGCCGUAGACCGGUCCAUCACCAUUUCUUCAAGAUCCUUCCUAUCACCGGUAAUCGCAGAAUAAAACCCAACGGCGCUUCGGCAUUUAGCUCGGAUCUAGAUUCUCGGUGACUUAAGGAUAUUUGGGAGUAUUUGAUUCGCAACGGUAGCUUGAAGAAGACAGUGUCGCGACUUAUCUUCAAAAAGCUCAAGGUUGGAGUAUGGUUUUUCUGUUGUACGCGAACGAAGCAACACGAAGCAACGCCGAAACCACAAUGGUUUGAGGAUGUUGAAAGGGUUGGUAUUAGCAGUUGAUGCGGUCUGCUAAGGAUGCAGUAACUCGGUGUAAAAGCAACAUCGCUCGCAAGCCAAGGAUGCAACAACAACGGUUCUGUUAUUUGGUAACUCCUUUGUUCAAGAACUCAUCACAUUUUUGAGAUGUUUUUUUUUUAUUUGAAUCAUUUUAUGUUGGAAUACGUUGAUAUUAUGGAUAGACUUUGUGUGAUAUAUACUGCGUUGUUAACAUUGCAACAACCACCUCCAAGAAUUUGGUAAUCUUUAAAUCCUUUGGUUUUGUUUGCAUUAUAAUUGCCAUUGUUGUGCAUUGGGAUUUGCCGUAUCGACUUGUUAACUUCUCGUUAAUAUUCCGGCCUUUCGUAACAUAACCUGUUUUGGUUAAAUUUAUGAUUAAGAAUUGUGAUUCUGCAUAAGCUACAGUCUUGUGCAUCCGAUUGGUUUUGAUAAUAUGUUGUGUAGUUAAGUGUUGAAUAUUUUGACGAAAUUCUGAAAUUUCUGUUCAACUCACUGCAUCCGUCUUGUUUACUCUUUGAUAAAAGUUGAAUAUUUGAUAAAAAUUCUGCUAUGAAUUUAAUACAUUUGGCUAAAAAUUAUGCUAUGAAUUUAACACAUUUGGUUAAAAAUUCUGCUAUAGUAAUAAUACAUAUUUUUAGUUGUUACUAUACUUCAGUUUUAUUUUGAUAUAGCAGGUGAGUUACAUUGCCAUGUUUUAUCUCGUAAGUCCAUUUGGCCUGAGUAUUUGAGUUUUAAUUAUGCACAUGUGAUCGGAAUUUCAAUUUAAGAUCGUGUCUGUUUGCAAAUUCAUUUGUGUUGAAACUUAAACUUUUGAAUUGAUUCCGUAGAUUGUUUUAGUUGCAGUCAUUUGAUUUUGGGGUAUGUCAAUUAAAAAACUAUGGAUUUUAUUUUGGGGUAUGUCAAUUGAAAAACCAGGGAUAUAUGGAAUGGUUACUAUAUUGGAAUUAAAGAUAGUUUCUAGCAUGAUAUAAAUUCCAAGGUUUAAACUUAUUCUUGCAUUAUUCCAACUUUUGAGUCAAUUAGUCUUUCUUCUAGUUAAGGGGAAUAUGGAUAAUAUUAAUUAUAAUAUUAUGAUUAUAUUAAUUAAUAUUGUAGUUAUAUUGUCAAUUAAGGGUUAAAGAGUGUGAUUAUGUUGAUAAAUAAUUGUUAAAAAAAAUUAAUUUUAAUCAACUUUAU